UACGGAGGGUGCGAGCGUUGUCCGGAAUCACUGGGCGUAAAGGGCGCGUAGGUGGCCCGUUAAGUGGCUGGUGAAAUCCCGCGGCUCAACUGCGGGGGCUGCCGGUCAUACUGGCGAGCUAGAGCACGGUAGGGGCAGAUGGAAUUUCCGGUGUAGCGGUGAAAUGCGUAGAUAUCGGAAGGAACAUCAGUGGCGAAAGCGGCUUCCUGGACCAGCACCGACGUCAGGCACGAAAGCGUGGGGAGCAAACAGG
rnacentral:rRNA from 1 species